GACAACAUCACUGACAGGAUAUAGAAUACACCUGGACAACAUCACUGACAGGAUAUAGAAUACACCACCUGGACAACAUCACUGACAGGAUAUAGAAUACACCUGGACAACAUCACUGACAGGAUAUAGAAUACACCACAUGGACAAUGUGUCUGACACAGAUUUAACUGUGUGGACAACAUUACUGACAGAUUCAAACCAGGUGGACAUCAAUCUGUCUGAUAUGGACAGGAGACAGCCUCACUGCUCUGAUGACCUGCAGAGAGGAGAGGAGACAAACAGACAGA